UCACGGGUAUGCGCUACAACUAAGCGCACACCUCCCUCUCUGCCUUAUCCCCCCUCUCUCGUCACGUUCUCUCCCCUUCCUCCCUCUCCACAACCAGUGAUUCGCCGCUGCCGUCACCUCUGCCGCCGGCGUCAAGCCUCCAGGGAGCGAGCCCUUCCAGCUACCCAUCAGACACACACGCGCGGCCCCCGUUCCCCCUCACGGGCCCCGCGUCUCCCUCGAGGCGAGACGAAUCGCGCCCGCCCGCCCGCCUAGGGUUUCCGCCGCUGCCGGAGAGGGAAGGGGAGGGGGUGAGGAACUGAACCGGAGCAAGAUGGCCGGACGGCUCCUCGGGCAGCUCCUCGUCAUGGGCGGCGCCGUCGUCCGCAGGGCCGUGGUCCAGGCCUACCGCCAGGCAAUCGUCAGUUAUGAAGAUGUGUCCAUCCGGAGCCAUUAAAACAAUAUGCUACAUAUACUGGGUAGAUAUCUCUGAUUAUUCCGUUAUUAUGGCGGGCAAGGAGAAACAAUAUGUACCGUGUAGUAUGCUGAAUGGUUGAGGAUAUUCAACAAAUUGGUGUCGCAGGUUCUCAGUUCAUGGAAUCAUUGGUUGGAUCUUCUUCCAAUGCCACAACACGUGGAUGGACACUGUAGAAAAAAUAUGUGAGGCGUUUUGCUGCAAUCUAUCCAUACUGCCCAGCGCAUGUUGUAAGUGAAGUUUCCUAUGGGAUUGCUAACAGUUUAGAUAGCAGCCAAUUAAUAGAAGCUAUAACUACAAAAGUAACAGCAGCCUGUUGGUACUCUUUUAUGAUGUCUACUUCCGACUGAAUAUUGGUUGGCAUUACAAAGCUAGGCACCUGAGCUAUUUACAGAAGGAGGGGAUCCGACCUUCUUCAUGUCCCGCGGCAGUGUCUUCCUUUGAUUCGUUCGUGCAACAAGGAGGGGAUCUGGCCUUCUUCACGUCUCGUGCAACAAGGGUGAUGGACAUUGACUACGACAGCCUGGUGGGCAUCGUGCUCUUCAACCACUCAUAGGUGGACUUCGCCGUGAAGCCUGGCGACCACGCCGCACGGAUGAUCGUCGAUGUGAUCCCGACGCCGGAUGUCGCCGAGGUGGAGGACCUCGAUGCCAUCGUUCAGGGUGAGGGAGGAUUUGGGUCCGCCGGCGUCUGCACUCCGAGCCUUGCUAGAUACAUGUAGAGAAGUGGUCUGUUUAGGCUGGUGGUGGAACAUUAGGGAAGGUACCCACCUUUGGUUGUGUGCGUUUAAUUUAUUUUGCACUGGACGUGUCCCUGAUUUCUAUCUAUGAAUAACGUAUGUAAUUUUUAUUUUUUUAAUUCAUAAUUUGUUAGUAGUA